rnacentral:lncRNA from 1 species
UGGAAUUCCACCUUGUUGCUACAUCAGUUAUAACCUUUUGUGAGCUAAAAAUGUUUGCAUCUUUCACGCACACUUUAAACAAUGUCAAUCUUGCUGGAUAUGCCUUAACAUGCUUACAAGCAGCCCUUAUAUGAGAAAUGGAUGAAUCUAUAAGAUAUAAUCCAUCAGACACAAUCAAAUUCAAAAUAUGUGCACAGCAGCGUAAAUACAUACACUCACCUUUAAGCAAGGUAUUUCCAUUUCAGGCACUCAUAUUUCUAAUCAAAUAAGAUAAAGCAACAUUGUUAGAGCUAACAUUAUCUACUGUAACUGUGCAAAAUUUAGUAAGUCCCCAAUCUUUCAAGCAUUUUUCUAAGGUUUUA